rnacentral:lncRNA from 1 species
GCUUCAUCCGAGGGCUUAGCGCGCGAGGACUGAAAUACCAGGGUGGAGAGUUGUAACAGUCCGUCUUAUUUUUUCUGUUUUUAUUCGAUUGCAUUUUUAUAUUUAUAUUUUUCUUUGAAAAGCACAUUGAAUUGCUCCUAUGUAUGAAUUGUGCUAUAGAAAUAAACGUGCUUGCUUUGCUAUGCUACCAGCUCACACAGACAGAAGGAAAACACUUAGCAUUUACAGACUCCUCAUUAUCCGGCCUAAUGAGAAAUUAAUGAGAUGCCAGGCGACACUGACAGACUACGUUACUGGAAGGAGGAUAUAGGUGGCAGCAGGAGGGGUCUGCCAACCGAUGACCCCGUUUUUGACUUCCUUGUCUUCUUAGAAACCAUCAUACUUUGGGGAGAUGGAGCUGACGAAUGCGUCCGAUCUCUGAGCCUGUCCCAGAGCGACACUUCAGAAGGUUACCCAACCUGCUUUUAUGAAUCUGCCAAUAUGAUUAGCAGCAGAUGUGUCCAGAGUAGCCUGGUACCAAAUCAGCAGGGUCAUUUCAAACAGAGGAAACAAUUGGACGCAUCCCAGAGCCCACAACCAAUCAACAACGGACCAGAUGAGAUGAUGAGAUGCAGUACAAUGGCGCCAGGUCCCGACCCACCGGACUCAUCACACACCUUCUGUUCUUCAGGAACCAGAAGGAACCUAACGGAAACACAACAGGGAGGCGCCGACCUGAAUAUGUCUGAUAAGAAACUCACAUUCUCUGUUCGCAACAUUUGCACUAUUUAA